AUCGAACGCUGGCGGCAUGCCUAAUACAUGCAAGUCGAGCGGCGCUUCGGACGGGUGAGUAAUGCCUAGGAAUUUGCCUGGUGGUGGCGUACCCCUUCCGGAAACGGGCGCCUUUACCGCAUACUAUCAGAUCAGCCUCGGUCGGAUUAGCUAGUUGGUGAGGUAAAGGCUUACCAAGGCGACGAUGCGUAACUGGUCUGAGAGGAUGAUCAGUCACACGGGAACUGAGACACGGUCCAGACUCCUACGGGAGGCAGCAGUGGGGAAUAUUCGACAAUGGGCGAAAGCCUGACCCAGCCAUGCCGCGUGAGUGAAGAAGGUUUUCGGAUAGUAAAGCACUGUAAGUUGGGAAGCGUUACCGAAAGAGUAAGCAACGGCUAACUUCGUGCCAGCAGCCGCGGUAAUUC
rnacentral:rRNA from 1 species